UUCCUGUCUUUCUAGACCCGCCCACCCAAGGCUCUGUGUCUGAAUUCACCAGGGUCCAUCUCUCUGUGAACUUGCCCAGUAUUGGCUGAAAUAUAGGAAAAACCAUCUAGCUAGUAACACCCAGGUGUUCUCAACAUCUAAAACCUUGUUUUAAAGAGAACAUUGCUGACAUUAUCUCUGAUGGGUAAAGAAGAUUCUAUCCAUUACUUGACACCACAAAAGCUAGAGACCGCAGAGGAGAACAUCAGCUUCUUUGGGGACUCAGUUCUUCAUCGUAUUUCCUUGGGGCCGUAGAGGAGUCUCCGUACACAGAAGGUCUCAAGUGUAUUUUUAUGAAUUGAAUUUCCUAGCCAGAUGCUGAUGUGUAAGUAGGCAAGGAAACCAGCCACAUCAGGGCUCAUACGAUGUGACUGAUAUCCCUUAUUCAGUGGCUUCCCGGAGCUGGAAUCUGGAGAAAGGCAGCGCCCUGCACACUUCUGAGACCUGGGAGAUGGCCCGGGGCUGACCGCAGGCCUGGCCUCGGGAUGAAGCCUCCCACUACUAGCCCCACCUAGUCUUCAUCUUUCCACCAAAGCUGCUUUCGAGACAGAACCCUCCGCUCCCUGAAGGUCCAGGCUCAAUUAGCAUUCCCACUCUGUGUUGGGGUAUUUUUAUAGCAUUGCAGGGUUUUUUCUACACUGAAAAAAAAAAACUUU
rnacentral:lncRNA from 1 species